rnacentral:lncRNA from 1 species
UUGGCCAAGAGGUACAUUGGGAUAGAACUGAGCACCGAUCUCAUAAGAGUCGUCCUGCCCAUCAUGGAGAGGGCAUUGGCUUGCCAACCUUCGAGUCGAUCCUGAACCCACUGCUUCAAAGGUCUAUAGUCGGCCCUCUGGAGACGUCAACCGGUGAUAGAAACGCCCAGAUAGGUCAAGGUCCCGAUCAAUUUUGAGAUCCCCAAUCGCUCCUAAAUUAUCUGCUUCAUUUGGUCUUCAUCUUGGGGUUGAAGAUGACCAUAAACUUCUACAAGUUCACAAGUUGGCUUGAUAUUUGAUAGUAAGCCUCAAUAAUGGAUGCAAAACACC